GAUGAACGCUGGCGGCGUGCCUAAUACAUGCAAGUCGAGCGAACAGAUAAGGAGCUUGCUCCUUUGACGUUAGCGGCGGACGGGUGAGUAACACGUGGGUAACCUACCUAUAAGACUGGGAUAACUUCGGGAAACCGGGGCUAAUACCGGAUAACAUUUGGAACCGCAUGGUUCUAAAGUGAAAGAUGGUUUUGCUAUCACUUAUAGAUGGACCCGCGCCGUAUUAGCUAGUUGGUAAGGUAACGGCUUACCAAGGCAACGAUACGUAGCCGACCUGAGAGGGUGAUCGGCCACACUGGAACUGAGACACGGUCCAGACUCCUACGGGAGGCAGCAGUAGGGAAUCUUCCGCAAUGGGCGAAAGCCUGACGGAGCAACGCCGCGUGAGUGAUGAAGGGUUUCGGCUCGUAAAACUCUGUUAUUAGGGAAGAACAAACGUGUAAGUAACUGUGCACGUCUUGACGGUACCUAAUCAGAAAGCCACGGCUAACUACGUG
rnacentral:rRNA from 1 species